UACGUAGGGUGCGAGCGUUAAUCGGAAUUACUGGGCGUAAAGCGUGCGCAGGCUGUUCUGUAAGUCAGAUGUGAAAUCCCCGAGCUCAACUUGGGAACUGCGUUUGAAACUACAGGACUAGAAUAUGUCAGAGGGGGGGUAGAAUUCCACGUGUAGCAGUGAAAUGCGUAGAGAUGUGGAGGAAUACCAAUGGCGAAGGCAGCCCCCUGGGAUAACACUGACGCUCAUGCACGAAAAGCGUGGGGGAGCAAACAGG
rnacentral:rRNA from 1 species